rnacentral:misc_RNA from 1 species
AUAGACCGUGUUUCUAAGUUUAGAGAAAAAAAAACAGGUAUCUCCGCGCAAUCGAGUAUUUUCUGUGCAUAGGUGCAUCGUAGUCUUGGCACUCGUUUGAUUCUCAAUGGUAACGCUCGACGAUUCGAUGAUGACAUUUUUAUCGCGAUGAAUCGUUACGUGAAAACCAAGGUACAUAUCGUAUAAAUAUACAUGCGGGGACGCGGUACGAAAGAGCGGAAGUGAAGCCAACCGUUUCGUAUUAGUAGUUUACGACAAUACAAUCGACCUACAUGCUACCAAGGACGGGGUAGAAGACGAUGAGUCCUCGUGAGGUAUACGAAACUUGCCAGUCAACGAUGUUCAUGGUAUUCUUAAUCUCAUCUUUAGCCAACAGAACUGCAGAAACAAUAUUUAGCAUUCUAAAUAGAAAGAAACCACGAUCGCACCAUUUUUCGAUGAGAUUUCUGCACUUUUUAAUGAUCCUUAACAUUUGUACGUUACACAAUUUCUCGAUCAAUAAGUUAUGCAAACUUUAUCAAGGAAAUGUAGAUAAAAAGAAAUAAAAAAAAGGCAUAUCAUUGCGAUAUCAAAACACGAAUACGUCGUCGUAUAUCCGAAAUCUAUUCUUACAUAAUUUUGCAACAUCAACGGCAUACGUUUUUCCGAUAUUCGCAACGUAGUUUAUUUGAACGAUCUUGAUCUCGUUUAUCAUUCAACCUUUCUCUCUUUAGUGCUUGCAAAUAAACCGAUGCUCGUAAAUCCUCUGUCGAGACGGACUACUCUUCAACGGGUCCGGCCUAUUAAAAUUCCAGGACAACAGCUGAAUAGAGGAUGUUAAUGGACCUCGGUUUCAUCCCCUUUUACAGUUUCAACGAAUCUACUUAGAAUGAUAAUAAAUACAGUCGCUUGUGAGCCAGCCUUCAGCGACCCAUACUCAGAACCCUUUGGAACAUCCCCAG